GUAAAGACGUUUUGAAAUCUCAUUAGCACCACCAGACAACCACAUCACGAUUAUAUCGAUAAAGUUCGAAACCAGUCUGGAAAUGUAUACACGAGUUGUAAGACGUUUACCGCGAAUAUAUAUUCGAUCGAAAAUUAGAAUGAAUAGCCAUCUAUACGAUAAACGUUAAAGACGGCACCACUGAAUAUCGAGGUGAGAUAUAUACUCGCAGCAAAUAUCUCAUACAUCAUCUACGUGCAUUUUCAGAUUCCUUCGAAACCUUACGAGUACAAUCAAGAUCAUACAAUGUUAAUAUAACACAUACAGUACGUAUAGUACAUACGCAAGAGGUUCGUGUAAGUUUGCAAAUAUUUUCGUGAGUCACAGUAUAUGUUCGAGGCAAUUAUUCAUAGUAUACGCCAACGUUUUACUGAAAACGAGCGAGAUAUUUUCAAUAAAUGUCUUGCAACUUCCGUAAACCUUUCUAAAUUCGUUUCCAACUUUACCGCUAUAAUCGCGAUAGACGCGUUUCGUUACGUUACCAAUGGAAUUACAAAACGUUUCCUAUAAUACCGCAUUACGGUAUCUACAAGCGUUCCAAUACCGUGCUACUUCUAUAUUACGUUUGUUUUCAAUAAAUUUCCAUUUAAAAAAGAACAAAUAAAUAUGCGUAUAUAUGUUGCACUGGAAUCGCUAAAUCGAAAUAGCCGACACACAACAAACUCUGUCCCCUCGCAGGUACAAAAACGUGCAUAGAAUGUCGAACGAAUCGAGACCAAUUAGCGGAAUGGCAAAGAAUGUUAAGCGCCGCGACACCAUUCGUCGCCUCUCUAUUCAUGUGUUCUCCCCGUCCAUGCACUCGCCGCUUUUCGCGCGAUAUUCCCUCUCCCACGUCACCGUUAUUAGCGGCAGUCUGUUUUCUCCCUUUUAACGACUCCCGUCAAUGUCAAUGCCAGAAACACAUACCACGAGAUUCUCUCUUCGAGUUUGUUUACGAUCGGAACGAGAGAGAGAGAGAGAGAGAAGUGGACAAAGGAUGAAGAAGAUGGAUACAUAUGCCACUCUAUUAACAUAAUUAUUGCGAAAACCUUGGAGAUACAUACUAUCCUGGCGUAAACUCGACGCAAAUCGAGGCGGUUUGCCGACAGCGAGCGUGUCGUGGGCAUCGAUCGAUGAAUGGUGUUCUCGCGACCAUAGUGGCGCUCGCCUCGAAAACCGUACAUUUUUCACCGGAAACGGGUUAACUCUUUGACGGUGCAAUAAGGCGAUGAAUAAUUCAGAGCGAACGAUUUAGAAGAUAAUUUGUCUUAUUAUUCUUAAGGUCUGCUGCGUUUCUCAUAUCAGAUUUGUUCGACUUGUUAGAAAUACGAAUUUACUUUAGCGUUGAAGCACGUAAAUUUUAAAUAUUUGUUUCAUUUAACCCGUCGACGGUGUAAUUAAAUUACGAAGAAUGCGAAACAAUUUAGAAAAUAAUUAUGUAACUCGCUAUUCUUAACUCUGCCGCGGUCCUCGAGUUGUUUAUGUCUUAAUCUUACUUUAGCUUUAACCUUAGUUUCGAUUUUGCACGAAACGAGAAAUCACGCGUAUAAAUAACAGGUCUUUCGUGUUUUGCUCAAAUUUAGGACAAUUUUCUAGCGAUGAACGUACGGUAGGCUUGAAAAUGGCUCAAAAGAACCAGCGGCGCGUUAAAACGCGCUUUCCACCGAAAUGGAAAUACCGAUCGUAUAAUAAGCAGAUUGAGCGGAUGGCGAGCUUGCUCCAGAUAUUCUGCAACGAGGUUUAAAGGAAUUCGGCAUUUAUGAAGAGUAACGCGCGAGGAAGCGGACUCAUCGACGUACGAAACGAGUUCGAAAGGAUUGUAUGAAAUUCAUGGGCGUGUUUUAUGUUCCGAGAUUAAGAGGUGGGGGACAAACGGACGAGAAUUCGAGAACGUUUCGCGUUCGUGGUACAACAGCCUCUUAAUCGAAUAACAGGUGUUCGAAAUGGCCUCACCAGGACUGGUUUACGUCGAUACUUCGUAUCGUCCGAAUCUCGAUGCACGCCAACUCUUGCGCAUCUGUUUGACACGUAAAAAAAAAGAGGGGUUAUAAAUAUAGUGGCUUCGCGUUCAUUCCCGCUCCUAGGAGAAGUUAAAAGUUGCUCGGCGUAUAAUUCACGCGGUAGCUUUAAGUGGUGAUAUUUUAGAAACAGUACCCGGGAGAGGAUGUAAUAAUUACAACUUUGCUGACUUCCUGAUUUUUACGUUACUUAGUGGUGAAAAGAGGGCACUUUAAUAUACCGUGGCUAAAAAGACAUAAUUAAGAGGCGCAACCUACCCGGUCCGAAGAUGCGAGCUGUUUAGCGAUGGAUAUGAAGUUAUACGAGAGGAAUUAACGGCAUACGACGAAAUUGGUUCACGGCCACCGAGAACGUGCAAAGUUUAAGGAAGAUCGUUUGAAAUGGACAAACGACUCUAUAUAUAUGUAUAUAUAGAUGGCGUAAGGAAGUGGUAAGGAGAACGAACAGCUUGUUUUCUACACGUCGAUAAAUCUGCGGCUUCUUAUCUGUCAGCAGAAGAUUACAGCGAUCGUCCGGCGAUGUUGUAACAGCUAACAGCCAAUGAUAUAUUGGACGAACGAACAUUGCUAGACAUUUCUUCAAUGACGAGUGUACCAUGUGAUCUAAACAUACGACGACGCGUUCCUCGAACGUCAUCACUUCGACCCGUGAUCCUCGGACACAUUGGUCGCACAGUGUUGUCAAAUUCAACCUCGAGGAACUUACGCGUUAGUUGGCUGCACCGUGGAAGCGAAACUUAUAUCUUCCUCGAUCUAUCCGUCCGCCAAACCAUUCUCGCUCGUAUUAUUAUCUAAACGCGAAUCUUCACCGCCAGCGAAGAAAACAACUAUCGUAGCGUUGCGAACCCCGCCCAUCGUACUUUUCAUCAUUGAGGAGCAUCUACGGGUAAGUACUCGGCGACACCCCGCAGGAUGCUGCAGCUGAAAAUCCUCUCAAGCACUGCAAUCGCCGGCAGGAGUUCCCCCCGAGUAUGUAACCGGUCCCAAACACAUUUGCCCGCUUUGGUCUUACGCCACAGACUAUACUCUAUGCAGCACAUAAAUCCCGCAUGAAACCGGGCUUACCAUGGCUACGAUCCUAGUGCCAAGGUAUUACGAUUCACCACGUACUACUAGACCGUGCCUACCGUGACACGUAUAUCUUUGAAUAAAUAAAAAGCAUUAGUUUGUUUACAAGAUGUAUCAAAGUUAUUGAUGCAGUUAUUGAAUGAAUGGAUAUUGGUUAGGUUCACGUCGAUUCAUCGCAACUAUAUUACAUAUAUCUCGAUUCUUGUUUAACCGAAAAUUACUCUUCCGUGUAACAUGUGGCACCGCGUGUGUCGAUACGUAAACGCACGUAUACACACGAUACUCGAGUGAAAAACACGUGCAUAUAGGUUAUGUACGCGGUACGCGAGAAAGAGACGAUGAGAGAAACCGAGCGUAGAAGUAAAGAGACAGGAACAAGUGUAAAGAGAAGGAGAGAAGCAAAGAAGACAGUAAGCUAGUGAACGAGCAACAGAGAAAGAGAGACUAUAAGGACUACUGCCGUUUUAUUGGCAGAGGUGAACGACACUGCCUACUGCAAGGUGGAUGCCUGUAUUUCGCAUAACCGCUCGUCGUUGGAACGUGCUAUGAGUUUAUGGGUCACUACGUACUGUUUUCAAGCACCUUCUUACGAAAAUAGUAUGAAUUCGUUGAAUCGAAAAUGUGUUGACAUCGGAAAGUCGUCAAUGUUUGCCUUUAUUAUGCUUUGUUCACUUGUGUCUUGUAGUUAAAAAAAAACAUUAUUUCUGGAUAAUACAAUUUCAUUAUUACAUCAUGUAAUAUAGCUAUUUCUUGUAAAAAUAAGAAUCGAUAAAAUAAGUGUUCUCGCGUUACAAACAUUGAUGAUAACAAUUACCAAAUAACUGACUUACAUUAAAACACGCACUCGUUGUAUACACCUCUUAAUUUCAAUGCAUACACAUACCCCUAUGAGAUCACCACAUAAACGUGCAGCGACCUUUUUAAAAAUUAAGAAUUCAUUUCACGUACAACUUCUAACUGCAAAAGAUUGUACAGGUUAUGUAAGAGCAAUUCGAAGAACGAACAACAGAGGGGAACGGCCUGAUCAACAAGAGUGGGUUCUGAAUUUAAGAAUAAUCUGAUUUCGUUAACAUUUGUUUAACGACUUACCAAUCAACAAGAUAAAACAUCAGAGCAAGCAAUAACAAUAUAUGACGUACAGUAACACGUACAUAAUGUGACAGAGAUUCAUAAAAACAGUGAAAAUCGGUCGAGUAACGUGAACUGACCUCUGCUUUGCCGCUCCUCAUCGAUUUUCUGAACAUACGUCAAUACGAAGUACGCCAGACACGUAUUCAUGGAAUUAAAUACUACCUUCUUUUUCAAUAGUCGAUAAAUAGAAAUUUCUGUCAGUUUGUAUAGCAGCCAUGUUAAAUAUGUAAAGAAUGAGAAAUAAGAUAUUUUCGGUACAAACGUGCUUAUCUCUAAAUAUUUUGAGGUUAGCUUCGGUAAUUUUACGUUAUCUUUAUAUCGAGCAAUCUAAUGUAUAAUAUGAGAAAGCAAUGUAAACUGCGCAUUACUUAAUGCUUAUCUGACAUUAAACAUUAAAUAUUAAUAUUGUAUUGUCUUAUGUUCAAUGUAUUUCUAUAAAAUUUGUAUCAACUAUGAAGAAUUCAUUUGAUACACUCAUUUAAUUAUUUGAUCAUACAAUUAGUGAAGGAUGUGAGAAUUAUAUAAAAAAGAAUUAAAAAAAGAUUAAAAUGAAAUGUAUCUCAGAAAUGUAUAUGUUGAAAUCAUCACCUGGUAACUUUGUUUACCACACCAGGGUAUAAUUCCAUUUCAUCUGUAUAUUAUGAUUGCUCAAUAAAAUUACAAAUAUAUUUCCAAUUGUA